AGCGAACGCUGGCGGCAGGCCUAAUACAUGCAAGUCGAGCGGCCGUAGCAAUACGGCAGCGGCAGACGGGAGAGUAACACGUGGGAACGUACCUUUCAGUUCGGAACAACCCAGGGAAACUUGGGCUAAUACCGGAUACGUCCGUACGGAGAAAGAUUUAUCGCCGAAAGAUCGGCCCGCGUCUGAUUAGCUUGUUGGUGAGGUAACGGCUCACCAAGGCGACGAUCAGUAGCUGGUCUGAGAGGAUGAUCAGCCUCACUGGGACUGAGACACGGCCCAGACUCCUACGGGAGGCAGCAGUAGGGAAUAUUGGACAAUGGGCGCAAGCCUGAUCCAGCCAUGCCGCGUGAGUGAUGAAGGCCCUAGGGUUGUAAAGCUCUUUCGGCGGGGAAGAUAAUGACGGUACCCGCAGAAGAAGCCCCGGCUAACUUCGUGCCAGCCGCCGCAGUAA
rnacentral:rRNA from 1 species